CGACCGGGUGCCCGCACUAAGUUCAGCAUCAAUAUGGUGACCUCCUGGGAGCAGGGGGCCACCAAGUUGCCUAAGGAUGGCUGAACUGGCCCAGGUCAGAAAGGGAGCAGGUCACAACUCCCGCACUGACCGUAGUGGGAUUAUGCCUGA
rfam:Pan troglodytes isolate Yerkes chimp pedigree #C0471 (Clint) chromosome 15, whole genome shotgun sequence.